rnacentral:lncRNA from 1 species
UGGUGCAUUUCUGCUUCAGGCUUCUGAUUACGUGCAUCAGGCACCUGUCUACUAGAAUAGGCAACAUUUAUAAGAGUCCCAAAAACUUGUCUGUAAAGCUGUGUCAAACUAUGUUUCUCUUUAACUGAAUUGCUCUGCAUGAUCUUUUUCUCCAGUAAAUGCCUUAAAGGGGAGUUAUCUGUAUUUAUUUUCCCUUUCCUAGAUAGAAGCUAAGUUGUAUGUUUUGUGCCACAGCCUCCUGAUUUGUAUGAUACCAACACAUCCCUCAGUAUGUCUCGAGAUGCCUCUGUAUUUCAAGAUGAGAGCAAUAUGUCUGUCUUGGAUAUUCCCAGUGCCACUCCAGAAAAGCAGGUAACACAGGUAGGAUGUUCUUUUUCUCUUUAUAAGAUUGUUAUUGUGCCUGCAAGUGGGGCUAGGGGAAUGGUGAUGGUGAUGGUGAUAUGUGACAUAUGUCAAGAAUGACUGGGCCCUUUGGCCCUGGGAAUGAAAGCUUAGAAAUGGGAUUUCAAGUUGGGA